UUAUAACCUAGAUAAGUUGACUAUUCUUCUGAAGAUUAUAAAUAAAGAGUAGGUGUUCAUAACACAUAGUGAAUUAUGCACCCAUGGUAACUGUGGAACAGGGCUCCGGGGACAGAUGUUUCCUGAAGCCAUUCUCUGUGCCUGUAACACUAAAUCCAGAAGAAAACACUACUAGAAUUUCUCCAUGGGAAUAGAGCUACAGAAACCGUCCUGUACUGCAAAAGGGACUACAGAGAAGCAAAGAAUAUGGAAAGAAAGCAAACACUACCUGUCUUCAUAGAAACCAAAUAUAAUUUCAAAGGCAAGAGGGAAGAUCCAGGGAUCUACAGUUCAGUCCACUGCACAUCAGUCUCUGCAAAGGUGUUGGAGCAACUGAUCCUGGAAACCACUUCCAAACACAUGAAGAAAUUGUCAUUAGUUUAACAACACAUUUAAGUUGUUAUGAAAAGUUUACAACUGUCAUUUCUAAAUGAACAGUAGUGGUGUCAGAUAUUUCUCAAGAAGUAUAAUUGUGUUUUCUGGAAAA